UUUUUCAUAUAUCUCAUAUUUUAGAAGAUAAUUGGUAAAAAUGGAAAAAUACAUUUUUUUAUAGUGGUUGAAACAACCCCUAAACCUCGAGAUAAGCCGAUAAAAAAAUACGGGUUUCUGAACUUUUCUGAUGCUCAUUGUAGAGCUUACGUUGUAGAGUCUACAACAUAUCCAAUGCCCAUCAAAGUCAGUAAGGGAUAGCCCUAACCGUUCCCUUAUUAGUUACGUACCUGUAAAUAAGUAUUAUAUUUAUCUUUAUUUUGUAUUUCUUUUUCGUUCUUAACACAAAGUAAUAUAUAUUCAAUAUAUAAUUUAAUUUAAUUUAAUACAUAGUAGAAAAUUAAUUUUAUUUUUAACUCAGCUAUUUCCCGUUUUGUCUUAAUAAAGAUAUGCAUCAUCGGAUUAAAAUAUCGUUCACAUUAUUUUUAUUUUCUAAUAAGUCUAUAAAAAUAAAUUACAUUAGGUGAAUAUUCAGGACAAAAUAAGGCAAUAAUUAAAUUUUACGAUCUCUCUCUCUCUCUCUUUCUCUUUUGCUCGCUCGUUCAAAAAAUGUUUUUUAUUUUUAUUAUCUUAUCAUUUAACACUCAACUCGCACGCGUGAAUGCCGCAUGUAUACGAGCGAUAUGAGUCUCAAUUAGAACACUCACAUGAAGCUUCUACCACCCGCGCGCAUGCGGCACUUACAUGUGCGAGCGAUAUGAGUCUCAAAGAAGGACGCAUCUGCAUGGUGCUGUGCAGUCACACUGUGACAAUUAUUAAGCACGCGAGCACGCACUGUGCAGUCACUGUGCAGACAUUUUGUUAUCUGGGUUAUACCAACGUUGGGAGCCGAUUUAUAUAAAUUAAAUUGAGGUUACAUUUUUUUCACCAGUUUUAACGUUGGUGUGUAGUUUUCGUGCUUCUAUUCAAACCAUAUAACGGCAUUGGUGUAAUAAAUGUCUCAUAAUAUGUACUUAUCAAUUUAGCACAAAUAAAAUGGCUUUAGAGGAAAAA